GGGAAGGAUUUCCGGAAAAUUGCUUCUUUUCUCGAUCACAAGACAACUGCAGAUUGUGUUGAAUUCUACUACAAAAACCACAAAUCUGAUUGUUUUGAGAAAACCAAAAAGAGUAAGCAAGCAAAGUCCUCUACUAACUACUUAGUGGCAUCUGGUAAGAAUUGGAAUCGUGAAAUGAAUGCUGCCUCGCUUGAUAUUCUGGGUGCAGCUUCAGUCAUAGCAGCAGAUGCUGACAAUUCUAUGGGAAAUCAACGGGUGUGUUCUGGUAGAUUCUAUUUGGGAGGCUACAGUGAUUCUAAAACGUCGCAUGCUGAUGAUAGGAUUUUAGACCGAUCAAGCAGUUUUGACAUUCUUGAGAAUGAAAGAGAAACUGUUGCUGCAGACGUUUUAGCAGGCAUUUGUGGUUCAGUGUCCUCUGAGGCAAUGAGUUCUUGCAUUACUACCUCUGUUGAUCCUGUGGAGGGAUGCCGGGAGUGGAAGUCACAAAAGGUGGAUUCUGUCAGGAAACGGCCUUCAACGUCUGAUAUUACACAGAAUGUUGAUGAAGAGACUUGCUCAUAUGAGAGUUGUGGGGAAAUGGAUCCUGCUGAUUGGACAGAUGAGGAAAAGUCUAUUUUUAUGCGAGCUGUGUCAUCGUAUGGAAAGGACUUUACUACAAUCUCACAUUGUGUCAGGACAAGGUCCAGGGACCAGUGUAAGGUGUUCUUUAGCAAGGCUCGGAAGUGCCUUGGACUGGAUUCAGUACAUCCUGGACCUGAAAACGUUAGAACACCAGUGAGUGAUGAUGCAAAUGGUGGUGGAAGUGACACAGAAGAUGGUGCUGAUGAGUCUGGCUCAGUUAUCUGCAGUGAAAAGUUGUGCUCCAAGACAGAUGAUAACUUACCUGUCAUGAAUGCAAAGCAGCAUGAGGAAUCUGAUGCUCUGGAGAUGAAAAAUUUGACUACUGACUUGAAUAGAUCCAAGGAUAGCAAUGUGGCUGGACUGUUAGGUCCAAAGGUUGAAAAAACGUUUGUUUCUGAUGUUUGCAAGAUGGAGAACAAGCCUGAGCUAGCUUUUGACAAUCGCAACAAAAUCAUGGAUGGUUUUGUCCACCAAUCUGAGUCAGUGCUGGCCUCGGAAGUUUCAAAUGAAUCAGUCGGUUCAGAAGCUGGAAUAGAGAAACCAAUUGAAGAUGAUAUUGCUGUUGGAGAUGCAGUGGAUCCUCGCACAUCGAAUCCAGUUGCUGCUGCUGAUGUCAAAGCUAUAGCAGAGGCUUCUGCUAAUGGAAGUGUAAAUCAUUAUUUGAACACCCAAAGUGACUUGGUGCAGGAUUCAAAUGAUUCUAGAAAUUUUUCCCACCAGCCUUUGGGUAUGGGUUCCUGUUCGAACUUCAUUCUAUGUGUGGAAAACAUGCCUCAUGUAUCUGUGGAAUUUGAUUCUGUGGAUAAGUCUCCUAUUGUCUCAUCACUGCAGGAAAAUAAACUUGCUACUUCUAAUUCUGUGUUACAAGACACUGCUGCCAUUCAAUGCAGGAAAUUGCAUAAUCAGGAUAGGCUUUCAUCACAACUUGAUAUUCAGGAGCAUAGAGAUGAGCAGGGUAAAAAAUCUGUCAGUGGGGAUGAUCAUUCACAGCAUUUGGCAGCACAAUCUUUAGUGAAUCACAAUGAGUCUUCCCAGAUUCUUGGGGCCUAUCCACUUCAAAUUACAACAAAGAGAGAGAUGAACGGGAAUAUUCCUUGCAGACCUCAUUCUGAACUUCAAAGCCUUUCAAUGUCAGACAGGAAUGCUGCCAAUCAGUUUGUAGCUCAAGAUUGUUAUCUUCAAAAGUGUAGCAAUUCAAAGGCUCAGCACCCAGUCUCUGAGCUUCCACUUCUCUCCCAGCACACUGGGCAAGGCAAUGAUCAUUCGGGAGACCAAUCGCAGAGUUCAUCAGAGGUGGAAAAGCCAUGCAGAAAUGGUGAUGUUAAACUGUUUGGCAAAAUACUCAGUAACCCCUCAUCUUCGCCUAAGCUGAAUCCUAGCAUCAUUGAGAAUGUGGAACAAGGGACACAGAGUUCUAAGACAGUUAGCAAGUCAUCAACUUUGAAAUUCUCUGGUCAUCAAACUACUGAUGGGAGCUCUUCUGUCUUGAAGUUUGAUCGAAAUAAUUAUCUUGGCCCUGAGAAUGUUCCCAUGAAGAGUUAUGGCUUUUGGGAUGGGAACAAUAUACAAACUGGGUUUUCAUCUGUGCCUGAGUACUUUUUGGCCAAGUAUCCGGCAGCAUUUGGCAAUUAUCGCGUGACCUCAUCCAAAAUGGAGCAGCAGGCUUUGCAGGCUCCUGUGAAGUGUAAUGACCGUAAUUUGAACAGCGUUUCAGUUUUGCCUCCAAGAGAAAUAAGUAGCAGCAAUGGAGUUGUGGAUUAUCAGAUGUACAUGAGUCAUGACAUUAGUAAAGUUAAGUCAUUCUCUGUAGAUAUGAAACAGCGGCAUGAUAUAUUCUCUGAAUUGCAAAGAAAUGGGUUUGAAGCAAUCUCAAGUUUACAGCAGCAGGGAAGGGGAAUAGGGAUGAAUGUUGUAGGAAGAGGGGGAAUUCUCGUGGGGGGUUCGGGCACAGGCAUAUCUGAUCCAGUAGCUGCCCUUAAAAUGCACUAUAGUGGGAAAAAUGGGAGCAUGAUGAGAGAGGAGGAAUCAUGGAAUAAUAGGGGUGAUAUAGGCAGAUAGUUGGAGUGGUGAGGGGGCCCGUUGAAGAGGUCCUCGGCGGCAAAUAUCUUUUUUUUGCCGUGCCCUGUAUAUUAGUUUUUGUAUUGUUCAAUGGAAUGAUUAGGGCGGCUCUUAAGCCCGUCGUUUUGGUAAAAAAUAUAUUUAUAUAUCCUAGGUGCUUGUAAUAUUGCUGCAGCAGCAGCAGCAGCAGCUUUGGAUUAGCGAACCAGAAUUCGAUGACGACUAUUACUUGGAUGAGGCGGAGGAGGAAGAAGAAGAAGAAGGGAAAGGGAUAAAAUGAAGAUGAAUAAGGAGGAAAGUAUAGAAGGAAUAUGUGAUUCUCUUCUCUUCUUCUCUUACACGACCUUCCACACAAAGAAUACGCAAAUGAAAAACCAAAAUUCAAC
rnacentral:misc_RNA from 1 species